CCUACGGGAGGCUGCAGUGGGGAAUAUUGGACAAUGGGCGAAAGCCUGAUCCAGCCAUGCCGCGUGUGUGAAGAAGGCCUUCGGGUUGUAAAGCACUUUCAGUGGGGAAGAAAGCCUUGGGGCUAAUACCCUCGAGGAAGGACAUCACCCACAGAAGAAGCACCGGCUAACUCCGUGCCAGCAGCCGCGGUAAUACGGAGGGUGCGAGCGUUAAUCGGAAUUACUGGGCGUAAAGCGCGCGUAGGCGGUCUGAUAAGCCGGUUGUGAAAGCCCCGGGCUCAACCUGGGAACGGCAUCCGGAACUGUCAGGCUAGAGGGCAGGAGAGGAAGGUAGAAUUCCCGGUGUAGCGGUGAAAUGCGUAGAGAUCGGGAGGAAUACCAGUGGCGAAGGCGGCCUUCUGGACUGACACUGACGCUGAGGUGCGAAAGCGUGGGUAGCAAACAGGAUUAGAUACCCCGGUAGUC
rnacentral:rRNA from 1 species